GUGGACCCGGGUGGUGUGUCUGCUGGCUCUCAUCCACUUCAGUGCAGCAGUUAUUGUGAAGGUUGGAGAUUUCACCUUCCCUCUGGAGACUGUGAAGAAGCUGAAAGAAGUUGUUGACAAUGGAAAGGUGGCUGAUGACCGUGCACGGAGCGCCGAUAUGAAACCAUACGAGGUGAUCUGCAGCAACCACGCUGUACCGGAACUUCAGGAUCUGUGCGACGCCAACCAGCCAGACCUGGUGACACAGACGCUGCGAGGACUCGCACUUGUCGCAGAUAAGAUGGACGCCUGUGAAGUUUGCGCCUUUGCAGCAUGCAGUGGCUGCUAGUCGUCUGCUGCCGCCGCUGAUCUUCCGCUCUCGCGGUUCAUUAUGGAGAAUCUUCUGUGAAGUAACAC